rnacentral:piRNA from 1 species
UGCCUACUCAACUCCUUUUGA